rnacentral:rRNA from 1 species
GCAUGGCUGUCGUCAGCUNGUGUUGUGAAAUGUUGGGUUAAGUCCCGCAACGAGCGCAACCCUUAUCCUUUGUUGCCAGCACGUAAUGGUGGGAACUCAAAGGAGACUGCCGGUGAUAAACCGGAGGAAGGUGGGGAUGACGUCAAGUCAUCAUGGCCCUUACGAGUAGGGCUACACACGUGCUACAAUGGCAUAUACAAAGAGAAGCGAACUCGCGAGAGCAAGCGGACCUCAUAAAGUAUGUCGUAGUCCGGAUUGGAGUCUGCAACUCGACUCCAUGAAGUCGGAAUCGCUAGUAAUCGUAGAUCAGAAUGCUACGGUGAAUACGUUCCCGGGCCUUGUACACACCGCCCGUCACACCAUGGGAGUGGGUUGCAAAAGAAGUAGGUAGCUUAACCUUCGGGAGGGCGCUUACCACUUUUGAUUCAUGA